rnacentral:rRNA from 1 species
UACGUAGGGUGCAAGCGUUAAUCGGAAUUACUGGGCGUAAAGCGUGCGCAGGCGGUUUUGUAAGCCAGAUGUGAAAGCCCCGGGCUUAACCUGGGAAUGGCAUUUGGGACUGCAAGGCUGGAGUGUGGCAGAGGAGACUGGAAUUCCUGGUGUAGCAGUGAAAUGCGUAGAUAUCUGCAGGAACACCCGUGGCGAAAGCGGCGCGCUGGACCACUACUGACGCUGAGGAACGAAAGCUAGGGGAGCAAACAGG